AUCUCUAUCUGGAGAUUGCUCCCCUUGGGGUCCUUCUGUGAGCCCAGGGUAUGGCUCAGAUGUCAGAGGCGUGGUAUGGCAGUAGAAGUUUAAUCUAAUCUUCAUGUUACUGUGUGACAUGGAAGCAGAGGGACACUGACAAAAUGGUGUCUGACAUGGAAGUGCAUAUGAGGUAGAGGUGUGUCAUUGAAUUCUUCCGUGAGAAAAGAACAGUAUCCACUGACAUUUCUUGAUACUUGCUGAAUGUUUGAGACCAAACAGUGAAUGUGAGCACACUGAGAUGGUGUGUGGUGUUUUUCAGCAGUGAUGACAACAACAGUGGAUGAGCACCACUGGUUCAUAUUGUUACAUGCACCACAUACAGUCUCUUGUUCAUUGCUGGUGAAAAUGCAUAGCUAAUGGUGAUGAUCAUGUGGAAAUACAGUGUUUUUUCAGCUGAGAAUUUGUUCUAUCAAAUAGUGUUAUUGUAAUCUUUGUAUUUUAAUAUGGUAAUGUUAAGAUGAUAAUCUGAGUAGAAUAUACAUGGUAGAAUACACAUAUAGAAAACAUUUUCUUUGUGAGAAUAAAAACUACAUAUUACAUAGACAAAAAAAGAAGCAGAAAGUUCCACUGAUUACAUGAAAUAACCCUUGCUUACAGCAUUCAGGGAUUUGGAAAUCAGACCUUUGCACUCCUGUUGCAGAUAAACAAUGGGAGACUUAAUAACCUCAAAUAAAGAGUCAGCUAAUGCUACUUCUAUUACUGUUCCACAGUGCCAUGAUCUAUGAAAUCACAGUUCAUAUAGCUCAACAGAUACAUUUCAUCUUGAAUUUAUCCUUGAGCUGAGAAAUUACAUGCGUUGGAAAAUAACACUAGCUAGGAAUUGAAGAGAAAAAUGUUUUAGUGUUUUUAUAGACUGUAUUUGUAGCCCAUAUCAGUGAAAGGAGGCAAGGAAGUACACUACUUACUCAUGCAUUGUAUAGAUUGAUUAUAGUCUCCAUAGUCAGAUCAGUAAAAAGAAAAUUAGGAAAAAUUCAUACUUGCUGGAUAGAGAGAAAUGUGCACAUUGCUGAUGAUAUGAAUUCUCAAAAACAAUGCAAUUAACUAUAGCUAGUCUCCUAAUUAGGUCAUUUGACUUUAAAAACAUCAGCUGCAGAGUCCAGUUCGUAUAGUUUAGCCCUAACAUAAGAUGUUGUCCCAAAAUUAGCAUCCAUAAUCCAGAACUUUGCUAGGUUUGUUACUGGGAAUAAAAGAUAAAAUACAAACUUUCUUCUUUUCUAGAAAUAACAGUUUAGAAAGGUGUUGGCAGAAAAUUCUGCCUGAAUGGUAAAAUCCAUGCUAUAUCAUCUUCCAGGGCAGAUGAUAUAACCUUAACUUCAAAAAACCUUAAUGUUUCAGGUCAGUACAUUUUGUUGACAUUAUAUAUGCUACUCUCUUUUCAGUAUAUGUAAUUGUGGAAUUAACAUCUCUGAGUAUAGAAAAGCUCAAAGGCAACAGCACUACCAUUUACACCUACUACCCAUACCUAAACCUAUUACACCUUUCACUGUGCAUUGGCCAACUAAGGAGGAUCAGAAAUAGGAAUGGAGAAAAUUAUGCAUGUGUCUUCAUGCAGCUUAUGUAAAAUAGAUUUGUUCAAGGUGAAACAUAAACAUAUAAGUAAAACAACAUACUUUUGAUAUAUUAGCAAAUGUUUAUCUGUCAUAAAUACAACUGCUGUGUUAGUAAUUAACAAAAAAGGACUAAUUCUGAAGUUUGAGAUAUGCACCAGAGAUGUAUUGCAAGGCUGGGCUGCCCAGGCUGCCUGGGAAGGUUGUCAACUCCAUGCUUGGUGGUACUCAAGAUCAACUAGACAAAAACCUAAACAUCCUGAUCUGAUAUCACAGUUGGCCCUACUGUGAGUGAGGGCAUGCACUAGAGAUCUUCUGAAGUCCCUUCUAACCUGAAUGGUUGUAUGACAUCAUCUCUGCCUUUGUAUAAAGUGAGACUCAUUUUUGUUCCUUGUCAUGUAGAAUAUUAUUGUGUACUAUAUAAGAUAUAGCAGUGAAAAUGUUAAUGAAAUGGAAAAGGAUGUUAAGGGAAGAGUAAAUAUAAAUG
ensembl:lncRNA